GUCGUGAGAUGUUGGGUUAAGUCCCGCAACGAGCGCAACCCUGCCUUUAGUUGCCAGCAGUUCGGGCUGGGCACUCUAAAGGGACUGCCGGUGUUAAACCGGAGGAAGGUGGGGAUGACGUCAAGUCCUCAUGGCCUUUAUGACCAGGGCUACACACGUACUACAAUGGCCGAUACAAAGGGCAGCGACACUGCGAGGUGAAGCCAAUCCCGUAAAAUCGGUCUCAGUCCGGAUUGGAGUCUGCAACUCGACUCCAUGAAGUUGGAAUCGCUAGUAAUCGUGGAUCAGCAUGCCACGGUGAAUACGUUCCCGGGCCUU
rnacentral:rRNA from 1 species